GUGCUCGCUUUGGCAGCACAUAAAUUAAAAUUGGAACAAUACAAAGAUUAGCAUGGCCACUGCACAAGGAUGACAUGCAAAUUCACAAAGCAUUCCAAAAAAAA